UACGUAGGGGGCAAGCGUUGUCCGGAUUUAUUGGGCGUAAGAGCGUGUAGGCGGUUAGGUAGGUCCGUUGUGAAAACUCGAGGCUCAACCUCGAGACGCCGAUGGAAACCAUCUGACUAGAGUCCGGAAGAGGAGAGUGGAAUUCCUGGUGUAGCGGUGAAAUGCGCAGAUAUCAGGAAGAACACCCGUGGCUAAGGCGGCUCUCUAGUACGUGACUGACGCUGAGACGCGAAAGCGUGGGGAGCGAACAGG
rnacentral:rRNA from 1 species